rnacentral:rRNA from 1 species
AUGACCAGCCGCCGCCGCCGCCCGCUCCUCCGCUGCCGCUCGUCGGCGGCGAUGCCCUUGGACGACGACGACCUACUCUCCGAGAUCCUCCUCCGCCUCCCGCCGCUCCCGUCCUCCCUCCCCCGCGCCUCCGCCGUCUGCAAGCGAUGGCGCUGCCUCGCCUCGGAUCCAGCCUUCUCCCGCCGCUUCCGCAUCCACCACCGCCGCAACCCUCCACUCCUCGGCUGCUUCCACGGAGGUAUUCCCGAGCUCUGCUUCCAACCUACUAUGGCCGCCCCCAAUCGCGUUCCGUCCGGGCGCCUCUCCUUGCAGUUUAAGUCCCACGUCCGAGUACUCGGGUGCCGCCAUGGCCUCGUGUUAAUCUUGGACCAGACGCCGCAGCUCCUGGUGUGGGACCCCGUCACCGGCCACCAGCACCUCCUAGCCUAUCCCCCCGAGUUCGAUCUAGCCAACUCCUGGAUUAGUGGGGCGGUGCUCCGCUCUGCCGCCGGCGAGGUUCACUUCCAGGUCGUUUUGGUAGUGUCAGAGUAUGAAAAAAAGUUGCUCGCCUGUGUUUACUCGUCAGAGACUGGGGCGUGGGGCACUCUAAUCUCAACACCAAUUCCAUCCGGGAACUCCCUUCACACCAGGGUUUGUUGGGAGCACGCUGUGCUAGUUGGGGAUUCCCUUUACUGGAUACUCGCUGGUACUACUUUGUUCAAUCUCCUUGAGUUUGACUUGAAGACGGAGAGCCUAACCGUGAUACCGCUGCCGGCGGAUAAGUCUUAUGAUGCAGUACUCAAUAGUCCUGAAGGGCGCUUCACUGUUAUGCGCGCAGAGGGUGGUGGGCUGGGUUUGCUCUCUGUGUCAGGCUUCACCGCCCAAUUAUGGAAGAGGAAGACCGAUUUCGAUGGUGUUGCAUCAUGGGGCAUGGGAAGAACUGUUGAACUGGACGAGCUCCUCUCCAUGGAUUCAAAGGAUUACUUAGACAUAGAAGGGUAUGCUGAGGACAAUAAUUUGGUGUUCCUGUGGACCGGAAGGAGCCUCUUCACGGUCAAGCUUGAGCCAUUGCAGUGCAACAAACUUUUCGACACCAACAAUAGGGCUUGCUAUUAUCCAUUUGAAGCUGUCUAUGCUACAGGUACCUAG